GACUCUUAAGAUAAAAGGGCUUUCUGCGGAUGGCCUGCUCCUAUGUGUAGUGGAAGACCAACGUCUUAAUUAACAAGUGACUACUUUGCAAUAACGUAAAGUGCUGAUCACUAGUUUCCACCCAUGAAAAUGCCAGUUGAAAAAGAUUUGAACAGAAUCAUCCAAGUAGAAUCAGAGUAAAUCAAGCGAAUGCACCUCAGUAGCGGCGAGCGAAAAGGUGAUACGGAUUUCAUCAAUACAAUGAAAGUAGCUCUCUCUUCGAGAGUGAAUAUAGGUAAACAAAGGAAUCUAAGAUCUAAGAAACAUAGGAGCGAUAGCGAACAGUACCGUAAGGGAAUCGCGAGGUGGGUCCAAAGGUCUCCCUAGCAGGAAACAGAAAGUCGACGUUAUGAGCAUAUGGACCGCGUUGUCCCUUCUAUUGAGAGUAAAAGAUGCUAAUAACUACCUUGUGUAUAAGGGGCUAACAACCAAAUAGGAGAAGCAAAAAGCUCUACUCAUGCAGGUAAAGCUCUACUCAUUGAGUUAUGAAACUAAGGCAACACUAAAGCUCUACUUAUAUUCGCUUAAAUGAGUAGAGGUUUACUGGAGCUUUGUUUUAUAAAUCAUAAGUAUAGCUUUAGGAGACUAAGGAUAUACUAAAGCUCUAAUUAUGUAAGCCCCUAAUUAGAGUUUUAGAUCUUUAUUCUUGUACUAACCAAAAUUGGUACAUGAGAAAAGUUUACGGGAAGCAUCCCGAGAGAUCAGUAAAGUUUCUUCUAAUUGGCCCGAACGCGCGUGAUCUAGACGUGGGCAAGGUAUAAUGAAGCCCGAACCGGUGAUCGUAGCAGCGAUCUCGGAAGACCUGCGUCUAGCAGUGAAAUGCCAAUCAUACGCGCAGAUAGCUGGUUCACAACGAAAGCUAUGCCAGUAGCGCUUCUGUAAAAAUAGAUGACUGUAAGAAGGUAGACCAAUAGUGUGCUUGUCAAGAGGAAAUUAGUUUCGAUACAUUGGCGUUACCUAAAAAUAAUGGCUCAUAAGGGCAACUGAGUGAGCGAGCACAUGGUAGUGGGCCUCAACAAUCUAUUACUAUGUUACUUUCAAUCAGGUCGCGAUUAUUUCUAUCAAUGACGCAGGCUUGUCAACGUACAAAUAAAUUACAGGUAAGCAGAAAGACGGACAAUAGGGGCCAAGCUCUAAUGUCAAAAGGAAAAGAAUCCAUUGCCUAUACUAAAGUCCCAAAAUCAACGCACCUCACCGAUGUAAAGAUAGUUGAGAAAGAGAGAAAAGAAUUCUGUGGGCUCGGAAGUAGCCAUCUAAUAAAGAGUGUGUAACAACGCCAUUCUUCACUAUUGAGCUUUAAUCCUGAUUAAAGCUUUGUAUUUCUCGGCAGCCAUAAUAAACGGGUCAAGGUACGUACUGAAGUAAGGCGGGAAUCAUAAUUGAUUCUCAGUAGUUGUGCAGCUCCCCUCCCCAUUGUUAAAGACGGAGGGUGAGAGCGAUAAUGUUAGUGUGAGUCAGUGUUAAAAUCAGUUCAAGACUGAUUGGCCGGCAAGCUCAAGGUUUCUCGGAUAUAAGCAAAACUAACCGAGGUGAUACGGCGCCAAACCCCCGAGGGAUGGCCGGUCUAGAUGGAUCGAAUGAACCGUACUCAAACCGACACCGGCGAGCGAGUUGAGUAAACAAAGGCCCAUGGGAGAACUAUGGAGAAGGAACUCGGCAAAAUAGCUCCGUAACCUUCGGAAGAUGGAGUCUUGAUGACCGGCAGAUCAUACUUUGAAAUAACGCUCUCUUUAUUCACUCAGAAUAUAAAGAUUGUUUGAUUGAAGAUUUUGAUUUGUCUUCAGCAAGUUAAGCUUAGCGAGAAUGCCAACUGUUUCCUUAAAACACAAAUUUCUGAGCCUCGCUAGAGAUUGUACAGAAGUUGAGACUUGCCCGGUGCCAACAUUGGAAAUAGGGAGAUUCCAACUUAGAAUCGACUUAUAAAUAGUGGUAAACGGCAGCCCUAACCCUGAGGGUUUUAAAGUAGCGAAAUGCCUCGGCUAUUAAUUGUAGUCUCAUCCAGCAUGAGUAGUAUAAUGAGCGUUCGACUGUCUCCUCCAUAGACCCUACUAAAUCACAAUGCUCGUCCAGAUGCGAGCGAGAGCUAACGGGACGUAAAGACCCUAUGCAACUUCACUGUGGGAAUUUCUUAAUUACAUCAAGGAAUUUAGGACAGUUUCGCUGGGGUGGCGGCCUACUAAAAUAUAACGAAAGGCAAAUCUAUCAAACCCUAAGAUAGGCUGCACGGUAAACCCUCAAGCUUAUCGAAUUUAUAGACCGUUAAGUCUUAAAGAAGAUCUCGUCUAAUGAGAUCUCGUGUUAUUGACCCGGUCCGACAGAAAGGACCGAUUACUAAAUAAAAGUUACGCUAGGGAUAACAGGCUAAUGGAAGAGGCGAAUCGAAAUUGAAUCUUCCGUUUGGCACCUCGAUGUCGACUUAUCUUUUCCUGGUAGUGCAAGGGCUACCAAGGGUUCUAUUGUUCAUAGAUUAAAAAGGUACAUGAGUUGGGUUAACAACGUCGCAAGACAGUUGGGUUCCUAUCUGUUAGCUCAAAUAAAAGGAAAGCUGAAGGCCCAGAUCUAGUACGAGAGGAUCUUUCUAAGUAAACCACUGGUGAAUCGUUUAUAAAGAGGAUUGAUAGUCCUUAAAAGAAAGACGAAUGGCUAAGUUUAUUAACGUGAAGUGCUGAAACCAUCUUAAGUAGCAAACUUCCUUCAGCUUCCAGGCACAUUUAUUUUAGUGAGAAAAACUAAUGCUGGGUAGGCUCAAUUCUAGAGAAAGAAAAAAGCUAAACCUAGUGAUUGCCAAUUAUCUUAAGAGUC
rnacentral:rRNA from 1 species